rnacentral:rRNA from 1 species
AGACUUUGAUCCUGGCUCAGGAUGAACGCUGGCGGCGUGCCUAAUACAUGCAAGUCGAACGAGGCUCUUUUUGUAGCAAUACGAGGAGUGUCCUAGUGGCGAACGGGUGAGUAACGCGUGGGCGACCUGCCCCAAAGUGUGGAAUAACAGUCCGAAAGGAUUGCUAAUACCGCAUGUGGUCACCGGGUUUAGAAACCGAUGACUAAAGGAGUAAUCCGCUUUGGGAGGGGCCUGCGUCCCAUCAGCUAGUUGGCGAGGUAAUGGCUCACCAAGGCUACGACGGGUAGGGGACCUGAGAGGGUGGCCCCCCACAAUGGAACUGAAACACGGUCCAUACACCUACGGGUGGCAGCAGUAGGGAAUAUUGCACAAUGGGCGAAAGCCUGAUGCAGCAACGCCGCGUGCGCGAUGAAGGCCCUCGGGUCGUAAAGCGCUUUUCUGCGAGAUGAGAAAGGACAGUAUCGCAGGAAUAAGUCUCGGCUAACUACGUGCCAGCAGCCGCGGUAAAACGUAGGAGGCGAGCGUUAUCCGGAUUCACUGGGCGUAAAGC